AACGCACAUUGCACCCCCUGGUAUUCCGGGGGGUAUGCCUGUUCGAGCGUCAUUACAACCCUUAAGCUCCGGCUUGGUGUUGGGCUCGCCCUGUGGGGCUUGCCUCAAAAUCAGUGGCGGCCACGGCCCGACCUUCAGCGCAGUAAUGCUCGUCGCUGUAAGGGGAAGCUUCUGGCGCCAUCACAACCCCCACCACACAAGGUUGACCUCGGAUCAGGUAGGGAUACCCGCUGAACUUAA
rnacentral:misc_RNA from 1 species